AUACGGAGGAUCCGAGCGUUAUCCGGAUUUAUUGGGUUUAAAGGGAGCGUAGGCGGACGCUUAAGUCAGUUGUGAAAGUUUGCGGCUCAACCGUAAAAUUGCAGUUGAUACUGGGUGUCUUGAGUACAGUAGAGGCAGGCGGAAUUCGUGGUGUAGCGGUGAAAUGCUUAGAUAUCACGAAGAAAUCCGAUUGCGAAGGCAGCCUGCUGGACUGUAACUGACGCUGAUGCUCGAAAGUGUGGGUAUCAAACAGGAUUAGAUACCCUGGUAGUCCACACAGUAAACGAUGAAUACUCGCUGUUUGCGAUAUACAGUAAGCGGCCAAGCGAAAGCGUUAAGUAUUCCACCCGGGGAGUACGCCGGCAACGGUGAAACUCAAAGGAAUUGACGGGG
rnacentral:rRNA from 1 species